rnacentral:rRNA from 1 species
UACGUAGGGGCAAGCGUUGUCCGGAAUUACUGGGCGUAAAGAGCUCGUAGGUGGUUUGUCGCGUCGUCUGUGAAAUUCCGGGGCUUAACUUCGGGCGUGCAGGCGAUACGGGCAAUACUUGAGUGCUGUAGGGGAGACUGGAAUUCCUGGUGUAGCGGUGAAAUGCGCAGAUAUCAGGAGGAACACCAAUGGCGAAGGCAGGUCUCUGGGCAGUUACUGACGCUGAGGAGCGAAAGCAUGGGGAGCGAACAGGAUUAGAUA